rnacentral:ncRNA from 2 species
UAAUCAUCUUGGGGGUGCCAUCUGUUCCGGCCUGCAUUGAUACAAGCCGGAAGGAGGCUGAGAUCAAACCCUUGUAACUUGAUGCAGGUAAUACUGACGCAAGAAAAGAUGGAGCUGCUUUU